rnacentral:rRNA from 1 species
UACGAAGGGGGCUAGCGUGCUCGGAAUCACUGGGCGUAAAGCGCACGUAGGCGGGUCUUUAAGUCAGGGGUGAAAUCCUGGAGCUCAACUCCAGAACUGCCUUUGAUACUGAGGAUCUCGAGUCCGGGAGAGGUGAGUGGAACUCCGAGUGUAGAGGUGAAAUUCGUAGAUAUUCGGAAGAACACCAGUGGCGAAGGCGGCUCACUGGCCCGGUACUGACGCUGAGGUGCGAAAGCGUGGGGAGCAAACAGG